rnacentral:rRNA from 1 species
AGUGAACGCUGGCGGUAGGCCUAACACAUGCAAGUCGAACGGCAGCACAGUAAGAGCCUGCUCUUACGGGUGGCGAGUGGCGGACGGGUGAGGAAUACAUCGGAAUCUACUUCUUCGUGGGGGAUAACGUAGGGAAACUUACGCUAAUACCGCAUACGACCUACGGGUGAAAGCAGGGGAUCUUCGGACCUUGCGCGAUUGAAUGAGCCGAUGUCGGAUUAGCUAGUUGGCGGGGUAAAGGCCCACCAAGGCGACGAUCCGUAGCUGACCUGAGAGGAUGAUCGGGCACAGAGGAAAUGAGGCACGGUCGAGGACACGACGGGUGGAAGAAGUAGGGAGUGUUGCGCAAGUGGCGAGAGACUGACAGAGCAACGCCGGGGGAGUGAAGCCAGUCGGCGGAUAGUACAACUAUGUUAUUAGAGAAGAACAAAUGUCGAAGUAAACAUGCACGUCUUGACGGGACCUAAUAAGAAAGCCACGGCUAACUACGUC